rnacentral:rRNA from 1 species
GCGGAGGGAUCAUUAAAGAGUUAAAAACAACUCCUAAACCCAUGUGAAACCUACCUUUGUUGCCUCGGCAGGUCUGCAACUUACCCUGAGGGUACCUACCCUGUAGGUACCUUACCCGGUAGUUGCGGGCAUAACCUGCCGGUGGUCUACUAAACUCUGUUUACUAUGUCAUUCUGAAUAAUAUAACUAAAUAAGUUAAAACUUUCAACAACGGAUCUCUUGGUUCUGGCAUCGAUGAAGAACGCAGCGAAAUGCGAUAAGUAAUGUGAAUUGCAGAAUUCAGUGAAUCAUCGAAUCUUUGAACGCACAUUGCGCCCAUUAGUAUUCUAGUGGGCAUGCCUGUUCGAGCGUCAUUUCAACCCUUAAGCCCUGUUGCUUAGCGUUGGGAGCCUACAGAUACCCUCUGUAGUUCCUUAAAGUUAGUGGCGGAGUCGGUUUCACACUCUAGACGUAGUAAAUUUUAUCUCGCCUAUAGAUGAGCCGGUCCCUUGCCGUAAAACCCCCUAAUUUCUAAAGGUUGACCUCGGAUCAGGUAGGAAUACCCGCUGAACUUAAGCAUAU